UGGAGUCUGAAAUGCUGCACAUAUGACGUUUAAGCAAUUUGCUGCCAGUGUUGUAACUCAUCCUACGUUGUUGGCGUGUCAAUGGCUGGCUAAUGUCAAUUCUGUGCAUAUUGUUCAUCUGACAUCAGCAUGCUGGGGACUGGUCUCCAAUGGCGUCAUGACCCCCCUCCAUGCAACGCAUGUCCUCCUGCUACAUUCCUAUCAGUUAGGGAGAGUGACAUCGGCAGAGGAGGAUCAGGCUGAGGUGUGUUAAAAAACAAACAUUAAAUACA